rnacentral:rRNA from 1 species
AACGAACGCUGGCGGCAUGCCUAACACAUGCAAGUCGAACGAGACCUUCGGGUCUAGUGGCGCACGGGUGCGUAACGCGUGGGAACCUGCCCUUAGGUUCGGAAUAACUCCCCGAAAGGGGUGCUAAUACCGGAUAAUGUCUUCGGACCAAAGAUUUAUCGCCUUUGGAUGGGCCCGCGUUGGAUUAGCUAGUUGGUAGGGUAAAAGCCUACCAAGGCGACGAUCCAUAGCUGGUCUGAGAGGAUGAUCAGCCACACUGGGACUGAGACACGGCCCAGACUCCUGCGGGAGGGGGGGGUGGGGGAUGGUGGAGGAGGGGGGGGGGGCUGAUGCGGCGAGGCCGGGUGGGGGGGGAGGGGGGGGGGGUUGGAGAGGGGUUUUAGCGGGGAUGGUGAUGGCGGUACCGGGAGAGUAAGCGCCGGCUAACUCCGUG